rfam:Cajanus cajan CcLG08_903, whole genome shotgun sequence.
UGGCUGUAGCUAUAUCAAUGCUGUUAGAGAAGCUAUCUGGCCGGUUGUUGUGAUCCCUGUCAACUAAUCUGCUUACCGAGCUUUUCACAUUU